UCUGACUCGGUGCUAGCUGCCUGGAGUGUGAUUGAUCACUAAGAAAUGAAGAUAUCAACAAUUUGAUCACGCCUGCUUGUGUGGCUUUAUAGCAUCAGAAAACAAUAGAUGAUUUUCAGAUUGGCCUAGCUGAUAAAGAAGAAAGGCCCUUUGUAUGGAAAAUUGCACACUGUACUCUGAAUACAGCCAAGUGGAUGAAAGGAAGCUGAGAGGAAGGAUGAAACUGGAGCGAACAACUCAAUCAAAUGUCUCAUUUACUUGGGAAAUGUCUAAAAUUGGGCUUGGGAGGAGAGAGAUGGCAGAUGUGUCAUUUCUGCUAAACUGGAGGAGGAACCUGAGCAAAGAGAUGCUUAUGAAUCCAGACAUCUGUUCAAACAGAAAGCUCUUUGUGUGUUUCAACUUCUCCCAGGAUUACUCAGCAGCUACUCUUCAUGCUUGUGUGUUAUCAGUAUUUAGCACUGGGAAGUCUGAACAGUCGUUACACAGCUGCAGGGGUCAGGACUUCAGAAGAUGUUGGAAAUCAUUGACAGCCGUCUUGAAGGACACCAGCUGAGACUGGAACUACUCAGGGCCAGCCUGAAAACCCAUAAUCAUACCUUUGUUACUUUGUGCCAGUUUGAAGAGAGAAACUGCUAUCAAAUCCCCUAGAGAGAUGCUG
rnacentral:lncRNA from 1 species